GAAGUUUUGGGUUCCACAGAAUUAUUGGUGCUUAUCUACAAAGUUGAUUAUGCUUAUCAUUCUAGAUUUUCUGAUUCUCAGUUGAACAGUACCGUUGAUAAAGCUACACGAUGGAUGCUAUUCAUUAUAUAAGGUUUGCUAUCAAACUCUCAAAAAAGGAAAAACAACUUUACUCUGUUUUUUGGAUAACCUUCCUGUAGAGUACCUCGACAGAGACAAAUAUGCGAUCACGGAUAUAUUCGAUUGAUUUUCACGCAAAACUUGGAGGAUAUUUUUGCAGAUAGUUUGAUGCUCUCAUGGUUAAUCUUUUUCUUGGAACUAUUGGCAUGUAGAGGAGGCUGCGUUUUAUUUGCUGGUUUAUGUGAUUGGCGGGGAUGGAACAAUGAGAGGAGCAGUGGUGAUAUUCGAAGAGUUUAAACGGUGUCGUUUGAGGAUAUCCAUUA